AUAAUGGCAUAUACCAUAUUUUUAUUAAGUGUCCUUUUGGUUAUAGGGUUUGUAGGUUUCUCUUCGAGACCUUCUCCUAUUUACGGAGGUCUAGGGCUAAUUAUUAGUGGUGCUGUGAGUUGUGGUAUUGUGUUGAAUUUUGCUGGGGCUUUUGUGGGGUUGAUAGCCUUUUUUAUUUAUUUGGGUGGCAUGGUGGUUGUUUUUGACUAUACUAUGGCAAUGGCGACUGAAGAGUAUCCUGAAACAUGAGGGUUAAGUAUUGACAUCUGAAGGGCUUUAUCAUUAGGACUAUUAAUGGAGUUGAUGCUGGUUUGGUGAAUAGCUGAGCAGAUGGAGUGGGGAUUGUGAUUGAUUUCAAUAGUGAGAAAUUUUGGAUGAUUUUUGAGGGCGAGGAGGCGGGGUUGUUGCAUGAAGAUUCUGUGGGUGUGGCUGCCUUGUACACUUAUGGGUGUUGAUUAAUGGUAGUUGCUGGUUGAUCACUAUUUGUUAGUAUUUAUGUUGUGAUUGAAAUUACUCAGGGUAAU
rnacentral:lncRNA from 1 species